rnacentral:ncRNA from 2 species
UUCGUCGAGGGGCGCUGCGACCGUGGAUAGGCACGGCCAGGCUCGACGAGGUGCACCAAGCAACGGCGCCCGCUCGAU